GCUCAGGCGGGUGGCAGGCGGUGCUGAGCUCUGAGAAUCUGACAGGCAAGAAGCUCCCAGAACUAAGACUGCCUAAAACAUGAGCCCUGUGCUUCAUAAAGAAAGCUGCAUAUGCAGAUUCAGUAUUGUAUCUUUGGACAACUGGAUGGACAUUUAAAAUGGAACUUCUUUAACCUGACAGGAUCAGCUACAAUGCCCUGUGGAAUGGUGGUGGGGGUUUCCUAUCAUUUGGCUUAAGGAUGGUAACGAUUCCUGAUGCUGCUAGUCUGUGGUACUUUGCCAUCUUUGUUCUUUAAUCCUGUUCCACCUCUAUUAGAAAGUGCCCUCAUUCGACUCUGGUCAAAUACUUCGAGUGUACCUGCUGUUGAUUGCCUGGACCCUCACUGAAAUAGGAAUCAAGGCAUUAGUGGCAUACAUUACCCUCUGAGUACUGCUUUAGCUGCAUCUC